ACAUUUUUGUUGUCGAAUAUGUUCUUUUGCAGCAUUUUGUAAGAUGGAGUUUGUGUACAAUUCAAUCUCAAUAUCCUAAGGAUUAAAUCCCUUACUGUUUCUUGUGGCAAGGUGCUCACUUGCAGUUGAGAAUACUUCAUAAGCCUACACCUAAAACAUUUAAACAAAUAUGUUAAACUUUGAUGUUUAAUUUGCAUUUAAUUAAAGUGUAUAAACAAAUAAAAAUCACCUAAAAAGCAAGCACGUUUAAUGUUGUAGUAUGCCAUUGCUUUGGAACUUUUUGUCUUCUUUAGCUUAUAUGUUUUUUUUCCCUUAUAGACUUGUCUUUAAACGGUUGAGCAGACGAGUGUAAAAGAAAGUUGACAAAUCGAAGCUUUUAAAUACUUCUUUCAUCACCUAAAACAUUUAGAUAUUGAGAUGGAAUUGUACACAAACUCCAUCUUACAAAAUGCUGCAAAAGAACAUAUUCGACAACAAAAAUACUGUUGUUAAACCUAAAUUUAAGCUAUCAACCCAAGAGAAAGCUUUCAUAGAGGGUCGAAUUCGAGGGAUGAUAACAUGCAAAUGGAGGACGAUCGAUCCUUUCCAGAUAUUAACAACAGUGAUACCAAUACUCCUGAUCAUGCAAUAAACAACAAAUCAUUGGAGCAAUCAAACUCAUCUCCACAACUGUCACAACGAAAGAAACAAAGUCAAACAGUGGCUGACUAGUCUGAAAUGCAUCCAAUCACCAAAAGAAACGUUGCAGAUCAAAGAAGUCCAAUGACAAAGAACAACAAAGUCAUUCAAAAUCCUACAAGAAACUGAAGAACGAAACAAAAGAAGUUCGUAAGGAUUUAUCUACACUGACUUCUAUAGUCUCUAGGAUGGAUGACACAAUCAAAAAGCAACCAUUGGAACUGUUGAAAUGAAGCAGAUGCUCAAGAGAUUGAUUCAGACAAUCAGAAACUUGAAUGGACAGACACAACAACACACUUAAAUCUAUGGACAGAAGAAGAUUUGGAAUACUAUUUCAACACAAAUGUUGGUGAUUUCCAAGAUAAACUAGGGUGAGAGAUGUCAACUACGUGAUUGGCUGCAUCAACAUAAAAGAACAUUGGUCGGCUAUUGUAGCUGAUAUGAGAAAAUGCAAAAUAUACGUGUUCGACUCAGUGCCAAAUUAUGUUCAGAAGAAACUUGUUUAUCAAGAUCUUGAAAUGCCUGCACGAUGCAUCGCCUCACUCGCAAUUGCAAUUGGAGUGAACCUCCUUUCAAAAUGAUUCAAAUAUAGCCCUUGGCGAGUACGCAUAUCGAAUACCACAUUACAGAAAGGGCGUUCACUGGAUUAUGACAUUUUCUGUUCUAAAUUUAUGGAAUGCCUUGUAGCAAAUGUUGACCAUGAUUGUCUAACUUUGCAAAACAUGAAACUGUUUAGACAACAGUAUGUACUGAAACUUUGG